ACGCUCGACACCUACGGGAGGUAGCAGUGGGGAAUAUUGCACAAUGGGGGAAACCCUGAUGCAGCGACGCCGCGUGAGCGAAGAAGUAUUUCGGUAUGUAAAGCUCUAUCAGCAGGGAAGAAACUGACGGUACCUGACUAAGAAGCACCGGCUAAAUACGUGCCAGCAGCCACGGUAAUCUGAGCGGGCUGGCAAGGC
rnacentral:rRNA from 1 species